rnacentral:lncRNA from 1 species
CAUAUUAUUGUCUAGUUUUUUUUUUAGUCAGAACAGCUGCAUUCUAUUUGCAUAAUAAUUCACAUNGAAUUCUUUGCAAGGAAGAUAUUAAUUUAUAUAAAUACAUAAAUUUUUCUUGGCAGUCGAUGAACAAUAAUAUUUUCCAUCUUNGUUCAGAAAACCUGGUAAAAGAUUUUGUACAAGAACAGAGUUUCCUAAUAUAUUGUAUUUGCCAUUUAUUUUCUUAAUGUGUGAUAACUAGGAUGCAUUCCUUCUGCUAAUCUUCUGAUAGAAUAUAACUGCAUAUGGUUUCUUCCCAAUGUACGAAACCAAAUUGAAGACAGUCAACUGAAAAACCAGAAAAAUAUAUUCAUAUGAAAAUUUUUGAAGUGAAAACUUCUUUAGAAUGGGUGUAAUUUGGAAAAAUGUAACGGUAAUUGUAAAAAAUGAAGCGGUUGGCCGCUUUGUAAUGGAACGGUAGGAGGCUAUGAAACGGAAGCGAUACUAAAUAAGAGGAGAAAAAGAGAUAAACAUAUAGGAUUGAGCCUGCGAGAGAAUGAGACAGAAUAUUGCUCUACAGUUUUUCCUAUUCUCGGUCUUUGAUUCGUGGUCCUCACUCCUGGCUACUAAGCUGCGUAUGUGUGUGUGUGUGUUUAUGUCAAAACAAAGGCAAGCUUUGUUCGUGGCGUAAUGUUGCUACGUCAGAGCGUUGCUAUGGUAACCAUCAAUGGUUUUUCACAUGCAAAUAAACCGUACUUUGCCCGUUACAAAAAUCUGUGUGUGUGUGUGACGAAGGAACAAGAGCAAGCUUGUUGUAUGACGUCACGUUGCUACGUGGAGCGUUACGAGUGAGCGAAAACAAAGCAAGCUGAUUGCCGGGCAAGUUCUUGUUUACAAGAAAGAGAGAGAGAGAGAGAGAGAGAGAAAGGGAGAACGAUAUGUGCGAUAAAGAAGUGUGAUAAAGCGAUAGUAUUUACUUGAAUUAGAGCGAUAUUAAACGACCGAUUUUGAGAGUGAAUAAGCGUGAAAGUGUGCAGUGAGUGACGAUACAAUACGAGCAGUUUAGCGUUUUAGGUUAAUAGCGAUUCGUUACGUGCGGUUUAGUGUCGAAGAGUUUUCAAGAAGCAGCGGAAGGAGUUUAUCUAAUUAUUGCGUGUGAAUUGUUUUAAACGGAUUGUAAUUUAUUAACUUGUUAAAUAAAAUGCGUUUGUUUUCUAUUUUUUUCGAGUGGUAGCGGCUACGCAAGGAAUUCAGAUAUCCUUAGCCGGAUACGUAAUAAAUGUUUUCCCUACACUGUUAUCUGAAUACACCUAGUAUAAUAUCGGGAAACAGUCUUCCUUUAAAUUUAACUUUAUACUGAGACAUUGUUUUCUAUGCAAAUACUUUUAUACUAUGUUUUAUGUAUGAAUUUCUGAGUGUGGAACAAGCAUAUAUAGGUGGGUGUUUGCGUGAAAGAAAGAGAGAAAGAAUGAUUGCUUUAUUAGAAUGUGUGCGUAGCGUAAGGACCGUAUGGUGCGUGUGUAUGUGUGGGAAAGAAAGAAAGAGAUAAGGAAUGGUUGCUUUGUCAGGAUGCGUGAGUCUAGCGUGAGGAUGACGGAACGAGAGGCGACCGUUCAUUGUUUGNCNUACAGCUACUGUUGUGUUUGUUAUGUGUAUNCGUGUGUGGCGAAGAACAAACAUAAGCUUAUUGUAUGACGCAUAAUAGCCGCGGUUGGGAGUAGAAGCACCCGGUGUGCAUUGUGCAUGUGUGCGUGUGUAGCGAAACAAGCGCAAGUUUGUUGUAUGACGUCAUGAUGGCUGAGGGUGGAGUAGAAGCAUCCGGCGUGUGUGUGUGUUGUGCGUACGUUUGGAAAAGGAAGAAAGAGAUAAGAUAUGGAAAGUAUCGGAUGUAUGCUUAAAAGAAAGAAAAGCGUGUAAGGUUCUAGGUUGGGUGAGUUGUGUGUGAGUAUACGUGUGUAAGACUGAUGAGCAACGGAUGGAAGGAAAGAACAUUCGAGAAAAAGCGUUUUGGAAAAUUCCAGAAGGAACUGCGUUACUAAGCGUCGAAGUCCUGUUAUGAGGAGAAGAAGGGGUAGACGCAAAUAAAAGAAGGUCGAAGGAAGGACAAGGGAGCGAGUUUGCUAGUUUGAUUAGUGAGAGUUAGAAUAGAAGGUGAUAGCGAAAGCGAGUUUUCAGUUAGGAUAGAGGGUAAUAGUAAGAGAGGAUAUAGAAGGAGGAUGGUAUAUAUAUAUAUAUAUAUAUUAUAUUGAGGAAGUAGAAACAUUUGAUGUGUUAUAAUUGUGUGAGUGCGUGAGUGUGUCACAAAGCACUUGACAAAGGAAAGCUCGGCGCGUCGUAGAAUGUUGCUUACAUCAGAGCAAGGUUCCGCGCGUUGCAAGAUGUUAUCAGCUUGUUAAAGUUCAAGCUCGGUGCGUGACAGGAUGUCGUUUACGUCAGAGCGUUGCUAAGCAGCUCAUACAAAGGCAAGCUCGGCACAGCGUUGCUAAGCAGCGAAAACGUAUGCAAGCUCGGCGUAUAAGGGGAGAGAGCGCGAGCACGUGUGUGUGAGAGAAAGAGUGAUAGAGCAAUACGACAAUUUAACUCUAAAAGUCAUCACUGCGCAGGUGUUAUAAAAAAUUACAUGAGAAUACAAAAAAUACUACAAUCAGAACGUUUUAAGCUUAAAUUCUCUAAGAAAUAUUAUAGUCGUUUCACACAUGCAAGACAUUUGAAAAGUUAUCUAAGCAACAUUCAAUAAAANAAUUUUAACAGAGGACUACCCGCCAGUCUGAAGGUGAAUUUUGAAGAGGAAGAUACAUACAUCAAUA